CCUACGGGAGGCAGCAGUAGGGAAUCUUCCACAAUGGGCGAAAGCCUGAUGGAGCAACGCCGCGUGGGUGAAGAAGGUCUUCGGAUCGUAAAACCCUGUUGUUCGAGAAGAAAGUGCGUGAGAGUAACUGUUCACGUUUCGACGGUAUCUAACCAGAAAGCCACGGCUAACUACGUGCCAGCAGCCGCGGUAAUACGUAGGUGGCAAGCGUUAUCCGGAUUUAUUGGGCGUAAAGGGAACGCAGGCGGUCUUUUAAGUCUGAUGUGAAAGCCUUCGGCUUAACCGGAGUAGUGCAUUGGAAACUGGGAGACGUGAGUGCAGAAGAGGAGAGUGGAACUCCAUGUGUAGCGGUGAAAUGCGUAGAUAGAUGGAAGAACACCAGUGGCGAAAGCGGCUCUCUGGUCUGUAACUGACGCUGAGGUUCGAAAGCGUGGGUAGCAAACAGGAUUAGAUACCCCUGUAGUC
rnacentral:rRNA from 1 species